rnacentral:rRNA from 1 species
GCCCUUAUUACCGCGGCUGCUGGCACGUAGUUAGCCGUGGCUUUCUGGUCAGAUACCGUCAAGGCUGGAGCAGUUACUCUCCAACUUGUUCUUCUCUGACAACAGAGUUUUACGAUCCGAAAACCUUCUUCACUCACGCGGCGUUGCUCCGUCAGACUUUCGUCCAUUGCGGAAGAUUCCCUACUGCUGCCUCCCGUGGGAGUCUGGGCCGUGUCUCAGUCCCAGUGUGGCUGAUCGUUCUCUCAAACCAGCUACCCGUCGUAGCCUUGGUGGGCCGUUACCCCACCAACUAGCUGAUAGGCCGCGAGACCCUCCUAGAGCGAAAUUCUUUCCUCAGUCGGCAUGCGACCAACUGAGGGUAUGCGGUAUUAGCUCGAGUUUCCCCGAGUUAUUCCCCACUCCAGGGCAGGUUUCUCACGUAUUACUCACCCGUUCGCCACUAGAUCUUCCCGGGAAGCAAGGCUCCCAUGGAUCUCGGUUCGACUUUGG